AGGACGACCAGCCACACUGGGACUGAGACACGGCCCAGACUCCUACGGGAGGCAGCAGUGGGGAAUUUUGGAAUGGGGGAAACCCUGAUCCAGCCAUGCCGCGUGAGUGAAGAAGGCCUUCGGGUUGUAAAGCUCUUUCAGCCGGAACGAAAAGGUCACGGCUAAUACCCGUGACAAAUGACGGUACCGGAAGAAGAAGCACCGGCUAACUACGUGCC
rnacentral:rRNA from 1 species